CACAUAUCCCCGAGGUGCCUCAAAAUAACGUACUUAUUUUUCACAUUGCGAGGUCGCGUUAAUGAGUCAGAAUAGAAAUAAUUCUUAAUGCCAUAUUGCCUUCGUGAUGUUGUUUUUUUCUCAUUUUUUGUGCUGCAAAGACAUUGCAGGUGAAUAUUAGAGGGGAUUAUUAAUUGCAGGUGAAUAUUAGAGAGGAUUAUUAAACGGAAAUUGAUUAGAGGGGAAUAUUGAAUAUAUUCCCCGAUAAGAACAAAGGAAACCGAGCAGG